rnacentral:ncRNA from 2 species
CUAUCAUCCAGAAAGGUGGAGGGAGUGGCCCUGAGAAGCCUUGGCAACCGUCAGUAGUGAUUGGUGCCAAUUCCAACCCGGACAAGCAGUGCGGGGAAGAUGAUUG